rnacentral:rRNA from 1 species
UACGUAGGGGGCAAGCGUUGUCCGGAAUCAUUGGGCGUAAAGAGCGUGUAGGCGGCCCGAUAAGUCCGCCGUGAAAGUCCAGGGCUCAACCCUGGAAUGCCGGUGGAAACUGUCGGGCUAGAGUCCGGAAGAGGCGAGUGGAAUUCCUGGUGUAGCGGUGAAAUGCGCAGAUAUCAGGAGGAACACCAAUGGCGAAGGCGGCACGCUGGACCCCUUCUGACGCUGAGGCGCGAAAGCCAGGGGAGCGAACGGG